GAGCAUCUGCUGUGAGAAACCCCGUCCAGGCCCUGGCAGCUCUCCAGGGCCCGGGAGCCUGGGCCAGCUGUGCGCUUGGAGCCGUUGCAGGCACCAGCUGGCACCACCCGGGGUGAGGAGGGGCCCUGCGUGUGCUCAGCCAGUUGGCAUCACUCCAGCCCGCCCCAAACCCUCUGGAAAUGCACACGGGAGCUCCUGCUGCUGUGGAGCUGCAGGGACCCCAGGAGUACAGGAUCAAGAAUCUGCGAAGGCCGGUGUUUGGGGACCGGGGAUUAAACACAGGCCAUCUGCAACCCUUGGAUUCCUAAAUUGCCCAGAUUGGGCUCAGAUGUGGGACUCUCCUGCCUCAGCCACCCAGCGUUCCAGGGUCGCAUGCAGGCACAAGCCUCCACCCUGCUCUCUGCCCCUCGAUCUCCCACCACAGUCCUGGGAGACCCACGAUUCCCGGGCCCUCUGGUCAGCGCCUCCGCCUGCUAGCAGGCAGCAGGGUGAGCGCGGGGCUCCGCCCUCCGCGGUCUCCCCGCCUUGUAUCCUUUCCCAGGCGGCUGGAACCUCGGCGCGGUGCCCUGCAGAGCUGGUUUCGGCCCGGGACCCAGCCUUCUGGUCUCGCCGCGCCCUUUCUAAAAUCCCUGGGGACGCGCAUCCCAAAAGUCACCUGUACUCGGCCUGCGAGGUCCCUGGGCCUAAAGCGAUCAGCCUGAGCCGCUAUCUCAGAAACGCUGCUCUGCUGCCACCGCCUGGCCCGACAGGGUAUGACAGCUCCGGGACCUGUCUCUUCCAGUCUGCAACCCCUUGCUUGCGUCCAUCCAGCCUCACCGACCACGUAUCCUCCCAUUUGCCCAUUCACACCCAUCUAUCUGUCUGUCUGUCCCUCCACCCAUCCUGCGCCCGUCUGUCUGUCCCUGCUGGGCUGAGAGCACACUAAUGCGCAGGGCAGUCUCGUCCUGGCCUCGAGGUUUGGGGUCCACUGCAAGGAGCCUCAGAGCUGCUGUUCUGCUCUCCCGGGUUUGGGGGUCACAGGAUCGGGUCUAGGCCGCCUUCCCCCAGACCAGGGCGGGUGCAGCUUGAGCGGAUCCUCGCCUCCUUGGGUUGCACGGGCUCCAGCUGGCACUCACCGCCUUCUGUCCACUCCCCUGUCCACCCCCCUCGUCCAACCCCCUCGUGCACCCCCGUCGCCUUUUUCUAAGACCUAACAGUGACAAUAAAGUAAAAUGGAUGCCGCA